UCCGUAGGUGAACCUGCGGAAGGAUCAACCCCUGUGAUAGUUUGUGGGCAAGUCUCCCCCCGUGUGUCCAUUGGAUCUGGAUGCGCGGCGGUUGGGGGGGCCUGGUCUUCUGGAGAGAAGGUCUGGGUUAGGUUAGUUGGUUUUAGGCCUGGCUU
rnacentral:rRNA from 1 species